CCACUAAUUACGCUUCAAAUUCGCAUCUUGAUGUGUUGUCUGUACAGGAGUUGGCUGCAAGUCAGCUGUUAUCACUUUUGUGGCCAUGUAAAAAUGUUCGGUGUGAAUAUCUUGGUCUUUUGAGAAGAAAUGUGCAGCUUAAUAUUAAUUUUGUAACUUGUAAUUUUACAGAAGUAAGUUCUGUUUGUAGAAAAUGGGGCACAGGUGGGAGCACGUUGGCAUGUUACCACGGAACCCACUAAUGAUGUUACAGUUAAGCGUGUACGGGUGUGUGAAGUCAAAUGUCAAUAACGGCCUGUCAGCUGCAGGGGAAUGCAACUCAAUGCUAUUGGCGGGCAACACAGCCAGCGCGACGUCAUGAAUAUCACUGCUGCCGCGGUGGCCGGGGGACACACUCUUGAUUAAAAAAUGGCUGCCGCCAGUGCCGAGGGCUCGGUCGAUACAGGGCAGAAUGAACUCUGAUCAUCUUCUGACAACUAGUUCUACACAGACCUCUGAUAGCAAGUGCACUGAUGAUGUUAGUCUUCAGGGCAUCUACAAACUGUCCCACAGUUGGAUUAUUGUUCAAACCAUACUACGAACGAAUAGCUUCAAAUGUGUUCACAAGGUGAUCAUCAAACAGCUGUUGUCAGGUAUUCACCACAGCACCACACUGAAAGAA